rnacentral:rRNA from 1 species
UACGUAGGUGGCAAGCGUUGUCCGGAUUUAUUGGGUUUAAAGGGUGCGUAGGCGGCCCUGUAAGUCAGUGCUGAAAUAUCCCGGCUUAACCGGGAGGGUGGCAUUGAUACUGCGGGGCUAGAGUACAGAUGAGGUAGGCGGAAUUGACGGUGUAGCGGUGAAAUGCUUAGAUAUCGUCAAGAACACCUAUAGCGAAGGCAGCUUACUAGGCUGUAACUGAUGCUGAGGCACGAAAGUGUGGGGAUCAAACAGG